CCUCUGGGGGCUUGUUGGAAAAUUCGAUAAGAUGUGAGGCUGCACUGAAAAUCAUUUGUGGUGCAGCUGAUUUGCUUGACUACAGGGUAGAGUCUGAGACUGCUGGCUGGGGCUGACUGAGAAUAGCCCUGAGGGCCGGGAUUGGUAAAGGUUUCUGAAAGACAGUAAGGGCACCCCAGGGAUGGUGGCCUCAGAUCCGGGGCCUGGGACUGACAGCAUUUUCCUCCUGCAGGACUGGCCUUUGAAGGACUGAAGCUCAUUGGCCUACAUGAGAGAACUGAAGAUCCAUCCCAGAGAGGAGCUGGCCUGAUGCCUGUGUAUAAACAAGGCCGGGCUAUCCUGAUAUAUCAUAAAAAACACAUCGUCUGGCACCCAGCCAACAGCCAGGGACCUGCCAGCAAGUGAGUGAGGCCACCCAAGACCAGCCCAGUCUGCCCUGACCACUUACACCUGAGCAAGCCCCAUCAAUAUCACAUGGUCUCGGCCAGUCCUGCCAAACUUCCCAGCUGAUCUGCUGACUCAUGAGCAUUAAUAAAAGUGUACAG